UUUUCCCAGCGCCCAUCUCCCUGCCGUGCAGCUCUAGCUCCCGCGCCCUGAGCUCCUCCCAGCCAUGGAGCUCGCCGGCCUGCAGCUCGCCCAGCCAGCCGUGGUUCUCCCUGUCCCCAGCUCGGCUGCUCGCUCCUCCCAUGGAGCUCGCCCAGCGCCCUUGCACUCUCCCUCAUGUCCGGUCAUUCCUCCUUUUCUUGGUCGUUGUCGAGCUCGCAGGUGACACCAGGGUCGGUCGUCCCUGCUCCCCCUUGCCUCCCUCCGCGCGCACGCCAGCCGUUGCUCCAGCUUGCCGCGCCCAUGGCCGAGGCCUCCUUCCUACGCGCGCAGAUUUCUUUUCCCUAGCUCGGUCCGGCCCUUUGCUGCAGCUCGUCCCCAUGGCCGCCGCAGUCCUGCCGAGAUCCCUGACGUACGCGCGCUGCUCCUCCCUCGCCAUGCCGCGCCGAUCCCUCUCCUUCCUACCCUGCUCGGAUUGUGCCGCGCUGCUGUCGCGUUUGGCCUGCUCCGGAUCCGAAGUUGGUCGCUUUGGUGUGAAAUUGCCAUUGCAUCCGGGGUUUUGACAUGUCUCCCUACUCGCCGUCGAACUUAGGUUCCCUGCUUAGCCUUUAGCGCUAGCGCGUCGCCGUGAUGUUACCGUCUCGCCGUGAUUGGUCCGUGUCUCCACAUGUUCAAAUCGUCAACCCCGUGCAUCACCUGCUCGCUAAAUGGGAAACCAACAGUCCUGUCCUCUCCCUGCUCCUCUGCGCGCAGCCGCGUUCCUCUAUCAGCCAUCCGUUGCCGCUGAACCACUGUCGAAUUAAUUUUCAGCUUCCCUCGUGCGGCUCUCUGGAGAUAAGCUCUUCAUCGGCUGUCGCUCCCAAUCUUCAGUUCGCCGACUGACUGUCGUGUUCCUUAUUUUUCCUCGUCAGUCGACCUCAUCGCGACUUAGUUCGUCCAUCGUGCUGGUCGCUAUUCCAUACUAUACCUAUUAGCUCAGAUCAUGCCCAGCUCGUCGUCGCGUCGUUUGCCGUCGAGUCGUCAAACACGUCAUCCCCUGCUCGACCCCCACCUCACCAGCUCGCCCCAAACCCGAUCUCGUCGUCGUUCCACGCGUCAGCAAGAAAUCUCAAGAGUCGAGUGAAGACGGAGCCAACAACGUGGUGUUCACCAAGUGCACGACAGAAAGCUCGAGCCAGGAUUUAUCAGCAUUCGUACGAGUAUUGGGUCGCGUUUGAUGACGGUACGUUAAUUAAUCGCAUGUUGCGGAAGACGAGCCAAGUCGACCCAAGGGUGGACUAAUUCGCAAGAUGAUGCUGGUGGGUUAACCUGAAGAUGGAUAAUCGGAACAAGUAUCAGAACAAAAGAUGAUCGCCAAGUGGACGACGUCUAACAACACUAACCUAGUGCUAUCCAGGCAAGCCCCGGUGCAUGCAACCCCUUCCUUGUGUUUUUAAAUAAUUUUUGCACACUUUAAGUCUAGCGAAAUGUGCAUUAGGUUUAUAGGAGUUGCUAGGAAACCCUUUGAUGCAUUGCCUUCCUUGAUAUCCAUACCUUUAUAGAUACUUCUGGUGAAGUAUCAAAAUAUGAUUUACAAAAAUGCUUAGCCCUGCUU
rnacentral:lncRNA from 1 species